AAUCGGUUAAACCUGGGUCCCGGGGAGGGGUGGGGGAAUUCCCCGUGAAGGCGGGUAAAAUGGGUAGAUAUAGGGGGAACCCCAGGGGCGAAGGGGGUUCCCUGGCCUGUAACGACGGUCAAGCACGAAAAGCGGGGGGAGCAAAUAGGAUUAGAUACCCUAGUAGUCCACGCCGUAAACGAUGAAUAUUAAGUGUUGGAGAAAUUCAGUGCUACAGUUAACGCAAUAAGUAUUCCGCCUGGGGAGUAUGCGCGCAAGCGUAAAACUCAAAGGAAUUGACGGGGGCCCGCACAAGCGGUGGAUCAUGUGGUUUAAUUUGACGCAACGCGAAGAACCUUACCAGGUCUUGACAUAUCGGGCAAAACUCUAGAGAUAGAGCUAUAAUUAUUCCGAAUACAGGUGGUGCAUGGUUGUCGUCAGCUCGUGUCGUGAGAUGUUGGGUUAAGUCCCGUAACGAGCGCAACCCCUAUCUUUAGUUGCCAGCAUUAAGCCGCGGACUCUAAAGAGACUGCCGGUGAUAAACCGGAGGAAGGUGGGGAGGACGUCAAAUCAUCAUGCCCCCUAUGACCUGGGCUACACACGUGAUACAAUGGCGUAUACAACGGGAAGCGAAACAGUGAUGUGGAGCAAAUCCUAAAAAGUACGUCUCAGUUCGGAUCGUAGUCUGCAACUCGACUACGUGAAGUUGGAAUCGCUAGUAAUCGCAGAUCAGAGUGCUGCGGUGAAUACGUUCCCGGGUCUUGUACACACCGCCCGUCAA
rnacentral:rRNA from 1 species